rnacentral:rRNA from 1 species
UACGUAGGGUGCGAGCGUUGUCCGGAAUUAUUGGGCGUAAAGGGCUCGGUAGGCGGUCUGUCGCGUCGGGAGUGAAAACUCAGGGCUUAACCCUGAGCCUGCUUCCGAUACGGGCAGACUAGAGGUAUGCAGGGGAGACGGAAUUCCUGGUGUAGCGGUGAAAUGCGCAGAUAUCAGGAGGAACACCGGUGGCGAAGGCGGUUCUCUGGGCAUUACCUGACGCUGAGGAGCGAAAGUGUGGGGAGCGAACAGG